CCUACGGGUGGCAGCAGUGGGGAAUAUUGGGCAAUGGGCGCAAGCCUGACCCAGCAACGCAGCGUGAAGGAAGAAAGCUUUCGGGUUGUACACUUCUUUUCUCAGUGACGAAGAAAGUGACGGUACCUGAGGAAUAAGCCACGGCUAACUACGUGCCAGCAGCCGCGGUAAUACGUAGGUGGCAAGCGUUAUCCGGAUUUAUUGGGUGUACAGGGCGUGUAGGCGGGAGCGCAAGUCAGAUGUUAAAACUCAGGGAUCAACCCUGAGCCUGCAUUUGAAACUGUGUUUCUUGAGUGCUGGAGAGGCAAUCGGAAUUCCGUGUGUAGCGGUGAAAUGCGUAGAUAUACGGAGGAACACCAGUGGCGAAGGCGGAUUGCUGGACAGUAACUGACGCUGAGGCGCGAAAGCGUGGGGAGCAAACAGGAUUAGAUACCCGUGUAGUC
rnacentral:rRNA from 1 species